UACGGAGGAUGCGAGCGUUAUCCGGAUUUACUGGGUGUAAAGGGCGUGCAGCCGGAGAGACAAGUCAGAUGUGAAAUCCACGGGCUCAACCCGUGAACUGCAUUUGAAACUGUUUCCCUUGAGUGUCGGAGAGGUAAUCGGAAUUCCUAGUGUAGCGGCGAAAUGCGUAGAUAUUAGGAAGAACACCAGUGGCGAAGGCGGAUUACUGGACGAUAACUGACGGUGAGGCGCGAAAGCGUGGGGAGCAAACAGG
rnacentral:rRNA from 1 species